AUCGCGAAAGCAGCUUCCUAGGCUAUUACUGACACUUGAGGCACGAAAGCGUGGGGAGCGAACAGGAUUAGAUACCCUGGUAGUCCACGCCGUAAACGAUGCUCACUCGCUGUUGGCGAUAUAUUGUCAGCAGUUAAGCUAAAGCAUUAAGUGAGCCACCUGGGAAGUACGUCCGCAAGGAUGAAACUCAAAGGAAUUGACGGGGGCCCGCACAACCGGUGGAACAUGUGGUUCAAUUCGAUGAUACGCGAGGAACCUUACCUGGGCUUAAAUGUAGUUUGACUUCCGCCGAAAGGCGGUUUUCCUUCGGGACAAAUUACAAGGUGCUCCACGGCUGUCGUCAGCUCGUGCCGUGAGGUAUCGGAUUAAGUCCCUUAACGAGCGCAACCCCUAUUGUUAGUUACCAACAGGUUAAGCUGGGGACUCUAGCAAAACUGCCAGCGUAAGCUGGAGGAAGGUGGGGAUGACGUCAAGUCAGCAUGGCCCUUAUGUCCAGGGCUACACACGUGUUACAAUGGCCGAUACAAAGGGCAGCCACCACGCGAGUGGGAGCUAAUCCUUAAAAUCGGUCUCAGUUCGGAUCGAAGUCUGCAAUUCGACUUCGUGAAGGUGGAAUCGGUAGUAAUCGCGCAUCAGCAAUGGCGCGGUGAAUACGUUCCCGGGCCUUGUACACACUGCCCGUCAAGCCAUGG
rnacentral:rRNA from 1 species